rnacentral:lncRNA from 1 species
CCAGCAUCCUGCCCCGCCUCCUCUCUGACCUCAGUCCCUUCUAACAGUCGGAUCUGAGAAAGCUGCAGGAAUCAGAAAUAAUCACCUUGCACGACUUCCCUCGUGGACCAGAGGCUAAGACUCUUUGCUCCCA